UAGCUCAGGGGUAGAGCACAACCUUGCCAAGGUUGGGGUCGCGAGUUCGAAUCUCGUUUCCCGCUCCA
rnacentral:tRNA from 1 species